rnacentral:misc_RNA from 1 species
GGCUGUGGUUUUCCACGAACAUCAUAGAAUACCACUCGACCACUGCUAGUUCCAGCGGCAAGAAUCCAGCUAUCCUCUCUGAAUGCCAAUGAAGAGAAAGGUGCCUCAUAAGAUAUGAAGGAUGAGGGUCUCCGAGACCCUGAAUCAUAAGUGUAUAACUUUUUAUCCAGUCCAACACUAGCUAUUAUCUUGUCAUUUGAUGGUGAGAAGCUAAUACCAGCAGUUGGGGCAGAAUGUUGCUUCAACCAAGAAAUCUUAGGGCUGCGACCAGUUGUAUCCCAUAAAUGUACUGACCCA